ensembl:lncRNA
UUUGAUUUGAAAUCCCAAUAAUCCCAUUGCCUUGAACUCAGGCUCGCACGAGCGUUAACUGUCCUGUGAACACACAUUUGGCUUUCCCACCAGUGACGGUGCAAGUCAAUAUUAUGUAGGCUACUUUAAUGCUGUUGUAGCAAUCUUUCUUUGCGGAAGCUUGACGUCAAUCUAUAUAUAAAUAUAUAAAAAAUAACCGACAACCGACACUCGUGACUUUUAUGCAUUCCACGUGUGUCGUUCAACUGGGAUACACACACAACUUUGAUCUCGUCUGGAGAAAAUGAAAACAUACAGCCCUCUCAGGUGUGAAAGGAAUUGUGAAACAGAAGGUCCUCCUGCAUUGCCCCUGCGUAAAUAGAAAUGUGAGAAAGACAAUUAUCUGGCAGCUAGAAGAGCAUACCAUCGUGCUCCGUCAUGAUGGAAGUAAUAACCACACAACCAUAGGGGAGAGAUAUGAAAACAGGGUCAGUCUCUUUCUAAAUGAAGAGAAGGACAACUGUUCGCUGCUCCUCUCAGGCAUCACUGUGGCAGACAACGGGACAUACAAAUGCUCCUUUACAGCCAACGCUUUUGUCUACGAAAAAGUAAUUCUACAUGUGGCUGCGAGCUACAGUGUCUGUAUGGACCUCGUCUCAGACCAGGCUUCGGUGAGUUCCGGAGGGGGAGAGGGGUCGGGGGUGUACCAGUGUAAAGCCUCUGGGGGCUAUCCAGAGGGCCAGAUUCACUGGAAGCUGGAAGGACAUCCUCUGGUGAACCCCUCCAGGAGGGAUGUGACCCACUUGGACAACUUUACAGGACUCUACAGCCUGACCAGCAACCUGACCAUCGAGCUGAGUAAGGAUGAAACACUGCAAUGUGUGGUGGAGAACACAGCCUUGGCCUCCAACCUCACCUCCAACUCCAGCUGCAAUCAAAAGUCUAUGUCCUGGGAAGGUAGCGGUCAUUAUAAAGUAGAGGUUGCAGCAGUUGUGGCUGUCAGCCUUAUUGUGAUUUUUAUUGUGGGAGUCCUGCUGGUGUUCUUACUAACUAGAUGUCGCCGACAUGAAAGGUCAACGAGAGACACAGAGAGGCAGGAAAGAGGCGUGACCCAUUCGUUUAAUGUGUAUGAAGAUGACUCUGCCUGAAUGUGUAAAGCGUCUCCCCCCUCUGAUGCAACAAUCUCUCUUCAACUGGCAGACAACAAAAUGGAGGGAUGAUGAUAAGAGGAACUGAAACUUAAAAUAAGGCCUGUGUUCAAUGUAGAACUUGGAGCAACAUUGAGCAAUGUGUUGUGCCGUCAUGUCUGAACUAUUCUUUGUUGUGUUACGCAAAGAGGCAAACGGCGCCUGAAAGUGGUUAAUCAUGGUUUUCCCUAGUUCGCUGACACUGAACUGAACCCUGAGUUAUGAAUAUGAUGACGAGAGCAGAGUACAAAAUGUGGCCAUGGAGACAAGGUUUAAGAACUAAAAGAGAAGAGAAGAACAGCAUGAUGGGAGAAAUGACUGUGAUCAAUGAACCGAAAGUGAGCUAGACUCAGUGAAUGAAGCCCCCCCCCCCAAAAAAAGGGAGCCUGUGUAUUGCAAUUGUAGAGUUUACUCACUUCUUAAAGUACAGGUGCUUUCAUAUUUCUAAGAAGAGUAACAUAAUCAAACCAGACUACUGUAGUUAUAUAGCUGAUACAUGACUGAAUAGCCAUCGUUGUCUUUAUGCAUUUUGUAUACUGCAUGUUCCUGGUGUUGGUCUAAUGUAGAUCUGUCUGCUCUAAACAAGAUUUCCCUCUGUAAAUGCCAAACUGGAAUGGGGGAGCCCCUACUGUGCUAUUAAAACCCCUUAUAAUGUCACUGGUCACAUUAUAAGGAAGCUGCAGUAGGAAGUGACUACUUUGCUGAACCAUUUGAAUCAUGCUGAGGAUUCAAACGAUUUGGUUUUAUGUUAGACCAAAUGAUUAGUUUUAAUGUAAAUAGUCAAUGACGUUAUUUUACUUAGAAUUCUGAAUUUAAUUCUCUGAAUGUGUGAAGAAUUGGACAUGUUAAUUGCUUAUUGUUAUGUAGCUUGCUGUGAACUAAGAGACCAUGACAUGUGAUGACUAAUGUCAAGGAUUAUUCAAUUUACAAAUGUCAAGCAAAUUAUCUGUUUACUCCAGUUUAAAGGUCUUCACAGGUCCACCUGAAUAUUCCAGACUUGACUUGGGACCGGGUCUGAAAUGAAAUCUUUUCGUUCUGGUCUGGGUCGUGUCCUGUUUGAUUGUCAUCAGGUGUCAAGUCUAUGUACUGUAAGCACAGAUCAAGGCUUUGCAUAGCCUAUAGAGGGCUUGACGUACGAUGCCUCCUGACGGUCAUGUUUGAAGACCACGGCAUUCAUUAUUCUGUUCUGACAACAACAGCCAAGUGACUACACCAAACUGCAUGAUAACAGUGGCCAGUGCCGACCCGUCAUUCAGGGCAGGUGGAGCUUUUGAGACCCACAUUUUUAGAAAAAAAUUUUUUGGCAGGGCUUGCCUGUUUUGCAUGUUAUUUUGGCAUUAAUACGUGUCACAUAUCAGUUUGCAAACAAUGUAAAAAAACACACACAAAAAAAAACACUCGUUCAAACGUUUGGGGUCACUUAUAAAUAUCCUUGUUUUUAAAGACAUACAGUAUAGACAUGGUUAAUGUUGUAAAUGACUAUUGUAGCUGGAAAAGGCAGAUUUUUAAUGCAAUAUCUACAUAGGUGUACAGAGGCCCAUUAUCAGCAACCAUCACUCCUGUGUUCCAAUAUAGAUCAAACGUAUCGGUGCUCGUCGGCCAUUGGACAUAAACAUUACACAACAAGUUGGAAAUUGCAAAUUCAACAAUGAGUGGUUUGUAAGGAAGUGAGCACAACUAGGUGAUACUUUAUACUGAUACAUAAAUGAUGUAAUAUGCCAGGGAGUUAUGUAUACUGUAGCUAAGAAAGUAAUACUACGUGUGUGGUGUGUAGUAAGCUGUUAGUACCCCAUGUGCCUCACGUUAAUAAUUUGGUCCCUUUUCCCCUCUUUCGCCUACUGUUCUGACUUGGUGGUGCACAUGCACAUGUAGUCUAUAGCCUGUUUUAGAGAAAUGUAAUCAUAGAAUAUUAUAAGAGCUUUCAUUGUCUGCUUAUUUGGCCCCGUUAUUUAUUCUACGGUUCUGACUUGAUGUACAAAGAGAAUACUGUAAAAAUGCCCAUGAUCUGUCGCUGUAUACUGCAUGUUCCUGGUGUUGGUCUAAUGUAGAUCUGUCUGGUCUAAACAAGAUUUCCCUCUGUAAAUGCCAAACUGGUAUGGGGGAGCCCCUACUGUGCUUUUAAAACCCCUUAUAAUGUCACUGGUCACAUUCAAAGGAAGCUGCAGUAGGAAGUGACUACUUUGCUGAACCAUUUGAAACAUGCUGAGGAUUCAAACUAUUAGUUUUGAUUCGUUUUCAUGUAAACGAUUCCUCCUGGUGGUCAUGUUGGAAGACCACGGCAUAAAUUAUUCAGUUCUGACAACAACAGCCAAGUGACUACACCAAACUGCAUGAUAACAGUGGCCAGUGCCGACCCGUCAUUCAGGGCAGGUGGGGCUUUUGAGACCCACAUUUUUAGAAAAAACAUUUUUGGGGGGGCUUGCAUUAAUACAGGUCACAUAUCAUUUUACAAACAAUGUAAAAAAG